rnacentral:rRNA from 1 species
UACGUAGGGUGCGAGCGUUGUCCGGAAUUAUUGGGCGUAAAGGGCUCGUAGGCGGUUUGUCACGUCGGGAGUGAAAACUCGGGGCUUAACCCCGAGCCUGCUUCCGAUACGGGCUGACUAGAGGUAUGCAGGGGAGAACGGAAUUCCUGGUGUAGCGGUGAAAUGCGCAGAUAUCAGGAGGAACACCGGUGGCGAAGGCGGCAUCAUGGACCGGUAUUGACGCUGAGGCGCGAAAGCUAGGGGAGCAAACGGG